rnacentral:ribozyme from 1 species
AACACCCCACUAUUUGGAAGAGUUCAUGGAUUGUCCCCAUGUUUAAAAAAGGUGACAAAGAAGAUCGUCGUGCAGAGUGCUAACAUGUGUCACCACAUAUCCAAGCUUGGGUACACGGGCUUGACUCAACCCCUUGGGCGGAUGGUGGCAUAUGGCGAACCAGGAGGGG